CACGUAGGGGGCGAGCGUUGUCCGGAUUUAUUGGGCGUAAAGAGCUCGUAGGCGGCUCGGUAAGUCGGGUGUGAAAACUCGGGGCUCAACCCCGAGACGCCACUCGAUACUGCUGUGGCUUGAGUCCGGUAGGGGAGCGUGGAAUUCCUGGUGUAGCGGUGAAAUGCGCAGAUAUCAGGAGGAACACCAAUGGCGAAGGCAGCUCGCUGGGACGUGACUGACGCUGAGACGCGAAAGCGUGGGGAGCAAACAGG
rnacentral:rRNA from 1 species